UUCGCAAUGCCCGAAAGGGUGACGAAGCGACGCCGCGUGGGUGAGGAAGGCCUUCGGGUUGUAAAGCCCUGUCAGGAGUUAAGAAAUGUAGACUCGCUAAUAUCGGGUCUAUUUGACAAAGGCUCCAAAGGAAGCCACGGCUAACUCUGUGCCAGCAGCCGCGGUAAUACAGAGGUGGCAAGCGUUGUUCGGAAUUAUUGGGCGUAAAGAGCACGUAGGUGGAUUUGUAAGUCAGACGUGAAAGCCUUCUGUUCAACGGAAGAAUUGCAUCUGAAACUACAAACCUUGAGUGUAGGAGGGGAGAAUGGAACUUCUGGUGGAGCGGUGAAAUGCGUAGAUAUCAGAAGGAACGCCGGCGGCGAAAGCGAUUCUCUGGCCUAUUACUGACACUCAGUGUGCGAAAGCUAGGGGAGCAAACGGGAUUAGAUACCCCGGUAGUCCCAGCCGUAAACGAUGGGCACUAAGUAGAGGGGUUUU
rnacentral:rRNA from 1 species